CCCACGCCUGUUCAUUGACCACCCUCGUAAGCCCAUUCGUACUGGUACUACGAAUUGUUUGGACUGUCUACCUGAUCUCAGACCUCGGACCGAAUAAAGGUUUCCUCUGUACUGUCUGCUGUCUCUGGAGUCGUGCAUUUGGGUCCAACCUUGAGCCCCGCAUCGUGACACCAGUGUGCCAGACGGAUUCACCCUCAUCCGUAGACGUGGAUUUCUGAGUAACAGAUGAAUAGAGAUGAUAGGGCAGAAUUUGGGGUUAUCGAACAAAAACAAUAAAAGGAGCAUGAUGGAGGUCAUUCAUUAUCUGCGUGUCUGCUGCGACAAGUAUCUUCCUCAGCAGUUUAAACAAGGCCCACCACAGCAGUGUGGGAUGAUUCAAAGUGGGCUUGAGCUGUUAUACAUCUUCAUGAAAACAUACACACACCGAUGUUGGGGUACUACCUUUUCUGAAGCUAAUUGAGGUUAAUAAAUGUAUAUGGUGAAAACGGCAUACACACAUAAGGAACGAAAACACAAAGACAAGCGAGCGGAAGUUGGUCACGCUAAUAGGUGGAGGCCACCGCAACCGAAUUCGACGCCGCAACAAAACCUUCUGGAGGAGCACACACAAGAGUGCCGACAGAUCACACACUCACUUCUUGGCCUGAAUACUGACAGCCAAAGACAAAUAGGAAGAUGACAUCACCUCCACUCAGAUAAGCGGA